ensembl:Y_RNA Y_RNA Y RNA
GACUGGCCUGAGUGCAGUGGUGUUUACAACUAAUUGAUCACAACCAGUUACAGAUUUCUUUGUUCCUUCUCCACUCCCACUGCUUCACUUGACUAGCUUUAA